GGCCCAGACUCCUACGGGAGGCAGCAGUGGGGAAUAUUGGACAAUGGGGGCAACCCUGAUCCAGCAAUACCGCGUGUGUGAAGAAGGCCUUAGGGUUGUAAAGCACUUUAGGCUGGGAGGAAGACGUGUAGUUUAAGAGAUGAUACGUUUGACUGUACCGGCAGAAUAAGCACCGGCUAACUCUGUGCCAGCAGCCGCGGUAAUACAGAGGGUGCGAGCGUUAAUCGGAGUUACUGGGCGUAAAGGGCGCGUAGGCGGUUGUUUAAGUGAGAUGUGAAAUCCCUGGGCUCAACCUAGGAACUGCAUCUCAUACUGGACAGCUAGAGUAUUGUAGAGGGUAGUGGAAUUUCCGGUGUAGCGGUGAAAUGCGUAGAGAUCGGAAGGAACACCAGUGGCGAAGGCGGCUACCUGGACAAAUAC
rnacentral:rRNA from 1 species